rnacentral:rRNA from 1 species
CUUAUGCGUUGUUGGGUAGGGGAGCGUUCUGUAAGCCUGCGAAGGUGGCCUGUGAGGGUUGCUGGAGGUAUCAGAAGUGCGAAUGCUGACAUAAGUAACGAUAAAGCGGGUGAAAAGCCCGCUCGCCGGAAGACCAAGGGUUCCUGUCCAACGUUAAUCGGGGCAGGGUGAGUCGACCCCUAAGGCGAGGCCGAAAGGCGUAGUCGAUGGGAAACGGGUUAAUAUUCCCGUACUUGGUGUUACUGCGAAGGGGGGACGGAGAAGGCUAUGUUGGCCGGGCGACGGUUGUCCCGGUUUAAGCGUGUAGGUGUGUGUUCCAGGUAAAUCCGGUUCACUUUAACACUGAGGCGUGACGACGAGGCACUACGGUGCUGAAGCAACAAAUGCCCUGCUUCCAGGAAAAGCCUCUAAGCAUCAGGUAACAUCAAAUCGUACCCCAAACCGACACAGGUGGUCAGGUAGAGAAUACCAAGGCGCUUGAGAGAACUCGGGUGAAGGAACUAGGCAAAAUGGUGCCGUAACUUCGGGAGAAGGCACGCUGACACGUAGGUGAAGUGAUUUACUCAUGGAGCUGAAGUCAGUCGAAGAUACCAGCUGGCUGCAACUGUUUAUUAAAAACACAGCACUGUGCAAACACGAAAGUGGACGUAUACGGUGUGACGCCUGCCCGGUGCCGGAAGGUUAAUUGAUGGGGUCAGCGCAAGCGAAGCUCCUGAUCGAAGCCCCGGUAAACGGCGGCCGUAACUAUAACGGUCCUAAGGUAGCGAAAUUCCUUGUCGGGUAAGUUCCGACCUGCACGAAUGGCGUAAUGAUGGCCAGGCUGUCUCCACCCGAGACUCAGUGAAAUUGAACUCGCUGUGAAGAUGCAGUGUACCCGCGGCAAGACGGAAAGACCCCGUGAACCUUUACUAUAGCUUGACACUGAACAUUGAGCCUUGAUGUGUAGGAUAGGUGGGAGGCUUUGAAGUGUGGACGCCAGUCUGCAUGGAGCCGACCUUGAAAUACCACCCUUUAAUGUUUGAUGUUCUAACGUGGACCCGUUACCCGGGUUGCGGACAGUGUCUGGUGGGUAGUUUGACUGGGGCGGUCUCCUCCUAAAGAGUAACGGAGGAGCACGAAGGUUGGCUAAUCCUGGUCGGACAUCAGGAGGUUAGUGCAAUGGCAUAAGCCAGCUUGACUGCGAGCGUGACGGCGCGAGCAGGUGCGAAAGCAGGUCAUAGUGAUCCGGUGGUUCUGAAUGGAAGGGCCAUCGCUCAACGGAUAAAAGGUACUCCGGGGAUAACAGGCUGAUACCGCCCAAGAGUUCAUAUCGACGGCGGUGUUUGGCACCUCGAUGUCGGCUCAUCACAUCCUGGGGCUGAAGUAGGUCCCAAGGGUAUGGCUGUUCGCCAUUUAAAGUGGUACGCGAGCUGGGUUUAGAACGUCGUGAGACAGUUCGGUCCCUAUCUGCCGUGGGCGCUGGAGAACUGAGGGGGGCUGCUCCUAGUACGAGAGGACCGGAGUGGACGCAUCACUGGUGUUCGGGUUGUCAUGCCAAUGGCACUGCCCGGUAGCUAAAUGCGGAAGAGAUAAGUGCUGAAAGCAUCUAAGCACGAAACUUGCCCCGAGAUGAGUUCUCCCUGAGACUUAAAGUCUCCUG